CUCAGCCUCACUCAACUCACAGUGUUUGUUGUGGGGGAGGAAGGGAAAGGAGAUUGUUAGCCGCUUUGAGACUCCUUUGGGUAGUGAUAAAGCGGGAUAUCAAAUCCAAACUCUUCUCUUCUUCUUCUCUUCUAACAAUCUCCUUUCCUUUUCUCCCUCACAACAAACACUCUAUGAGGUGAGUGGGGCUGAG